CUAGUUACCUGGCAGGAAAGAUACUAUGAUCAUGAAGGUGGUUUUCCCAGGGUGAGGCUCAUGCGUUGCAGUCUGGGUGUGCUCACCCCUGUGGUUUCCCCAAAUGUGGGAAACUCAGCUGCAUAAUUUGUGGAUAAUUUGCUUAGAAAGGUUGUGCAAAU